AUGGCGCCAUCACCUCGGCCGUACGCCUCUCUGCUGCUGCCAUCUCUCGUCCUGCUCCUCCUCGUCGCCUCCUCCCGCGCAGCGAGAGUGGGAGCAACCGCAAGAAACCAGGCAGCCCAGGACGGCCGCGCAGAGGAGGACGCCGGCGGCGAGGCGGCGGCGGAGGCGGAGGAUGAAGGUUGCGGCGGUGGCGCCGAAGGGGGAGAUGGAGGCGAUGAUGAGUGCUUGAUGAGGAGGACGCUGGUGGCGCACACCGACUACAUCUACACCCAGGGAGGAAACCACAACUAG
rnacentral:rRNA from 1 species